CGCUGGUGUACCAGUUGUUCCGCCAGGAGCAUCGCUGGGUAGCUAAGUAUGGAUGAGAUAAACGCUGAAAGCAUCUAAGUGCGAAACUCACCUCGAGAUAAGAUUUCCCAUUACGUAAGUAAGUAAGUAAGAUCCCUGAAAGAUGAUCAGGUAGAUAGGAUGGAAGUGGAAGUGCUGCGAGGCAUGGAGCGGACCAUUACUAAUCGAUCGAGGACUUAACCAAG
rnacentral:rRNA from 1 species